GGAAUCUUCGGCAAUGGGGGGCAACCCUGACCGAGCAACGCCGCGUGAGUGAAGAAGGUUUUCGGAUCGUAAAGCUCUGUUGUAAGAGAAGAACGUGUGUGAGAGUGGAAAGUUCACACAGUGACGGUAACUUACCAGAAAGGGACGGCUAACUACGUGCCAG
rnacentral:rRNA from 1 species